GGUAAUUCCAGCUCCAGUAGCGUAUAUUAAAGUUGUUGCGGUUAAAAAGCUCGUAGUUGGAUCUGUGUUUCGAGCCGUUGGUUCGCCGCCUGUCGGCGUUAACUGACGCGUCUUCGAAACGUCCUGCCGGUUGGCGGUCGGUCGCGCGUCUUACUUUCGGGUUCGACGGACUUGCGACGCGCCAGUGCUUACACCCGUUCCCGAUGUUCUUCACUGAGCGUCGAGUCGGGCCGGCACGUUUACUUUGAAUCAAACUGGGUGCUCAAGGCAGGCAAAUUUACCGCUUGAAAGAACUUGCAUGGAAUAAUGGAAUAGGACCUCGGUUCUUAUUUUGUUGGUUUUCGGAACCCCGAGGUAAUGAUAAAUGGGGACUGACGGGGGCAUUAGUAUUGCGGCGUUAGAGGUGAAAUUCUUGGAUCGUCGCAAGACUACCUAAAGCGAAAGCAUUUGCCAAGGAUGUUUUCUUUAAUCAAGAACGAAAGUUAGAGGUUCGAAGGCGAUCAGAUACCGCCCUAGUUCUAACCAUAAACGAUGCCAGCCAGCGAUCCGCGGUGGUUCGUUUUCAAUGACCCCCCGGGC
rnacentral:rRNA from 1 species